UGCUAUGGAGAUGAUGACCUUUGUUAAUGAAAUUUCCUGAAAAUUGCAUCACCUUACAGUAUAUACCACUCCUCAUAUGAUUAUCAUGGAAAAAAAUUCGUUCAUUUCAUUGAUUCGCCAGUGGUUUUUCCUACUUUUAUCUAAACCUCUUUCAUCCAGUGGAAGCACUUCCGAUAGCCCGAUAUCAGCAAAACAGAGAAAGUAGUAAAAUAUCUACAGUGAAACAAGAUUAAAUUGACCUUAUAGUGUCCUGUUUGAAUAGGAUAGUCUUUUAUCUUCUCUGUCUUUUGAAUGCACCUGCCAAAAUGUACUUGCUAUUACUCAUAUACUGAUCCUAUGAGUCAUGACAGCAAGCUCUAACAAUUACCACAAGUGAUGUCCAUUAAAAAGGAACAUCCAAACUAAACCGUGGCUGCUACUGCAAGGACGUCAUUGUAGAAGAGCCCAUUCACCUGCUGUGACUGAAUGGAGCUUAGUACAAACUCAGUGCGUCAGUAAUUAGAUUAGAGGAUAGGAAUCACUUCCAUAACCACGUGUCAGUCAGUCAGUCAGUAUCUGCACUGUGAGCAUGUCUAUUUGUCUGCAGAGCAUGUGUUGGUAACCGCAGCGAUAAGAGCCACUUUCAGGGUUUAGCCAUCACAUAUAAGGUAUCAACACAGCAUAGUCUAUUCAUAACAGCUCUUGUACUGGUAUUAUUACCACAACACGUGGUACUUCCAUCCAUGUAGGUUAACAUUCCUGACAAGUGAUGUCUCUCUGGGCUGCAGAAGAAGCGCUUCUCCACAGACAGCUAAGGAAACCAAGCAAAUCCAAAAUCAAAGCACCAAAGAUCUAACAGAACAACGUGACCUUCAUGCAUCACUGAUACAUUUCUCCCUGUCACUGUUAAAACACUUAAAACACUUAAGUUAAAGUAGCCUAAAUGUUUGAAUUCCAUCCUAACAAAGAGAGACAGUCAACCAUUCACACCUAUGGCCAGUUUUCAGUUUCUCCCACUGAAAACGCAACGUCCAGAUGAACAGAAUCAACUUUUUGGGAUUUCCUUGCCUGGAUGAUUGAGCAUGCAUUAAGACACAUGCUGUGCUCACUGUAAGCUUUCUAUUUGCAAAAUCACUUUCAUGCCCGUGUGGAAUAGAGAAUGAAGAUCCCUUGGCAGGCAACACAGUGCCUGGAGCUUCAGACACAGAGCGAUUAUAACUGGAAAGCAGCCAAAGAAUCCAAACAAUUUGUUAGUUUCUUAAGGAGGUGUUUUUAGCAGCUGGCUUGAAAGAAGAAAAAUGAGUAGCCAGAGGUAUACAUUUCCAAAACAUCCCCGAUAUUAAAAAAACAACCCAAAACCUUGUAUUUAAAAUAUUCUGUUUUGGUUAAGACUGUAUAAAAGCUGUAGUCAUUUCUGAAGUGUUAGUUUGCAGUGUGACUUAUAUUUUAAGUGUCCAUGGCACUUUAUUAUUACAAUGCCUUUUAUCAGAAUGAACAAAAUAAAAUCGACUCUAGAAAUAAAUGAUCAAAGCUACAACAUCAACCCAAACAGCACAUGAAACUUUAACCAGAUGGAAAGCUUAAAAUCCCAGCUGUUAGCAGUGCAGCCUCAAGGGCAGUCAAGAAAUACAGAUAAAAGAACACCUUAUGAGCACUGCAGAGCAUCCUGUGAAAAACUAAGGGCACCCUUACAGCUUCCAAUUAAGAAUUAAGGUUGUAGGUUGCAGCUGGAUGCUGCUAAUUAAAUGCAUUGAUUAACUGAUCCUCAGCACGAGUGACAUCUCUAUAAAAGCAGACGUUCUGGCAGCUUGCUGGUCUGGAGCAUUCAAGUGUAUAUUAGCACAGCUGUUCAGAAAUAGCAAAAACAGCCAAGAGCUACAUUUCUUGGCUGUAGGCCUCAGUUAGCAUGUUAAAUGUUCAAGUUCAUGACAGCAAAAUUAGAUAAACCUGAACAAGUAUGAGAUGUUUUUUUAGAGAGAAGAGGUUGAAAAGGGAAGAUGGAGAAGUGAUGAUCUGAGCUUGCUUUGCAGUCACAGGACUGGAGCACCUUGCAGUCACUGACCAUGAACUCUUCUGUUUACCAAAGUAUGUUAGAGUCUCAUGUGAAGCCAUCUGUCUGACAGCUAAAGCUUGGCCUGAACUGGAUCAUGCAACGGGACAAUGAUCUGAAGCACAACAGCAAAUCUAAUGACAGGAGGGGGAAAAGAACCAAGAUGUCAAAGUCCAGAUUUCAACUUGAUUGAAAUGCUGCGGUGAGACCUCGACAGCUGUACGUAAGAGAGCAACGCUGUAAAGUAAAGUGGGCCAAGAGUCCUCAACAAUAAUGUGACGGACCGAUGAAGUCACAUAGAAAAUGAUUACUUCAUGUUAUUGCUGCAAAAAGUGGUUGCUAACAGUUAUUGGAUCACGGGGUGUACUUAGUUUUUCACAGGACUGCAAAGAGUCCUGCAAAAGCUUUUUUACAUGACAGUAAUUACACCAGUUGCAAAUGUGAUCGUUUAAAAAGUGAUUGUAUCCUAUACAUCCACUUCAUGAAAGGUCCUUCUGUGGUUGCUUUACUGUAGCAAGCAAGCGCACAUUUUCAAAAACACAAGUGAAACAAUGACGACUUUAUGUAAUCCAGAUGUAUUUAUGUGGUUAUCUGUCAUUCUUCACUGUAAAACAGAUAAAGCUGCAUCUCUGUGCUGUAUAAUUCCUCUCAGCUAAUCUCCAAAUGUCACUGCUCUUCUCUUUUGCAGCAGUACUUGUUACUAAUAGUAUUUCUUAUUUUGUGUUACUUUGUCUUGUGUAUAUGGCAUUUAUAAAAAAGAUAUUACUUUGUCGUGAA